UCACACCAUGGACAUGAGGGCCCCCUCUCAACUCCUGGGGCUUCUACUGCUGUGGUUUUCAGGUGUGAGAUGUGACAUCCUAAUGACUCAGUCUCCAUCCUUACUGUCUGUAUCUCUGGGAGACAGAGUCACCAUCAACUGCAAGGCCAGUGAGAACAUUAAUAGUUGGUUAGCUUGGUAUCAGCAGAAACCAGGGGAAGCUCCUAAACUCCUGAUCUACCUGGCAUCCAAACUGAAAACUGGGAUCCCAUCAAGGUUCAGUGGCAGUGGAUCUGGUACAGAUUUCACUCUCACCAUCAGCAGCGUGGAACCUGAAGACAUUGCCACUUACUACUGUCACCAGUAUACUAGUACCCUUCCCACAGUGAUUCAAGUCAUAGCACAAACCUCACAGGGAAACAGAUGUGUGUGGCUUCGCUGCCCAGCUGCUCCUGUUGGUAUGUGCAACUGUACCCUAUCCAGGUGA